rnacentral:rRNA from 1 species
GAUGAACGCUGGCGGCGUGCCUAAUACAUGCAAGUCGAGCGAAUGGAUUAAGAGCUUGCUCUUAUGAAGUUAGCGGCGGACGGGUGAGUAACACGUGGGUAACCUGCCCAUAAGACUGGGAUAACUCCGGGAAACCGGGGCUAAUACCGGAUAACAUUUUGAACCGCAUGGUUCGAAAUUGAAAGGCGGAUUCGGCUGUCACUUAUGGAUGGACCCGCGUCGCAUUAGCUAGUUGGUGAGGUAACGGCUCACCAAGGCAACGAUGCGUAGCCGACCUGAGAGAGUGACCGGCCACACUGGGACUGAGACACGCCCCAGACGCCGCCGGGAGGCAGCAGUAGGGAAUCUUCCGCAAUGGACGAAAGUCUGACGGAGCAACGCCGCGUGAGUGAUGAAGGCUUUCGGUUCGUAAAACUCUGUUGUUAGGGAAGAACAAGUGCUAGUUGAAUAAGCUGACACCUUGACGGUACCUAACCAGAAAGCCACGGCUAACUACGUGCCAGCAGCCGCGGUAA